GACGAACGCUGGCGGCGUGCCUAAUACAUGCAAGUAGAACGCACAGUUUAUACCGUAGCUUGCUACACCAUAAACUGUGAGUUGCGAACGGGUGAGUAACGCGUAGGUAACCUGCCUGGUAGCGGGGGAUAACUAUUGGAAACGAUAGCUAAUACCGCAUAAUAUUGAUUAUUGCAUGAUAAUUGAUUGAAAGAUGCUAUUGCAUCACUACCAGAUGGACCUGCGUUGUAUUAGCUAGUAGGUGAGGUAACGGCUCACCUAGGCGACGAUACAUAGCCGACCUGAGAGGGUGAUCGGCCACACUGGGACUGAGACACGGCCCAGACUCCUACGGGAGGCAGCAGUAGGGAAUCUUCGGCAAUGGACGAAAGUCUGACCGAGCAACGCCGCGUGAGUGAAGAAGGUUUUCGGAUCGUAAAGCUCUGUUGUAAGAGAAGAACGAGUGUGAGAGUGGAAAGUUCACACUGUGACGGUAUCUUACCAGAAAGGGACGGCUAACUACGUG
rnacentral:rRNA from 1 species